CCUACGGGCGGCAGCAGUGGGGAAUAUUGCGCAAUGGGCGCAAGCCUGACGCAGCGACGCCGCGUGAGGGAUGAAGGUCUUCGGAUCGGAAACCUCUGUCAGCAGGGAAGAACGGUCACUGUGCUAAUCAGCAGUGAAUUGACGGUACCUGCAAAGGAAGCACCGGCUAACUCCGUGCCAGCAGCCGCGGUAAUACGGAGGGUGCGGGCGUUAAUCGGAAUUACUGGGCGUAAGGCGCUCGUAGGCGGUAUGUCAAGUCAAGGGUGAAAUCCCCGCGCUCAACGGGGGAACUGCCUUUGAAACUGGCAAACUGGAGUGUGUGAGAGGAUAGUGGAAUUCCAGGUGUAGGAGUGAAAUCCGUAGAUAUCUGGAGGAACAUCAGUGGCGAAGGCGACUAUCUGGCACAUAACUGACGCUGAGGAGCGAAAGCGUGGGUAGCAAACAGUAUUAGAUACCCGGGUAGUC
rnacentral:rRNA from 1 species